GAAGGAAGGAAGGAAGGAAGGAAGGAAGGAAGGAAGGAGAAAAAGAGAAAAAGAAAAAAAGAAAAAGAAAAGGAAUUGUUAAGAUGAAUGUUGAGGAAGAGGAAUAAGAAAAAGAAGAGGAAGAAAAUAAAGAAAAGUAGAUUAUGCAAUGCCUUGACAAUGACAUGAAAGUUGGGUUUCCAAUUUCUUAAUAAGGAUAUAUUUCUCAGAAGACCUCUAUAGUCAUGUAUAAUGCUGUAACCAAAUAGCAGGAAGAUGAAAAAGACUCCUAACACAGCAUUUGACCUAAAUACAUGUCCCUGUUAGAAGGGGAAUAUAGAAAAUUCUGGAUUAUGGUGAAAACUAUGUUCAGGUGUAUUUCAUCAUCUCAUACUGGUGGGUUAUUUUAUU